AUAAAAGCAACAUCACCCUCCAAAAUCGAGAAGAAGUAGAGUCCCUACGGUAAUGGAGGAGAAGGAGAAACGAUCAAAGGCUCAUUCGUGGAAUCCUAACCCUAACCCUAAAUCCAACGCCACAACAAUGAAGAAGAAGCACGACUUCGAGUAUUGCACGGUUUGCAAGCUGAAUCACGACCAAGGUCCGAGCCACAAGUACAUCCCCAGCCACACCAAGUCCCUCUCUACUUUCCUCUCUCGCUUCCAGGCCAAGCUCUCCGACGUCGUUUUCUUCCUCAAAAACCCUACCUUCCUCCGCCUCGAACACGCCGCUCGCAACCGCCUCUGGUGCGUCUUCUGCGAUUUCGACAUUGACGAGCGGGAUAGCUCCUUCGCUUGUGGCAAUGCAAUUAAUCACCUUGCGAGUGCCGAACAUCUGAAGAAUUUGAAGCACUUCUUGUGGAAAUACGGUGGAGGAAUGGAUUCUGUCGAUAAAUUCAGGAUAUUGGAAGCUGACCUUGCUAAGUGGGAGAAGAAGUGCAAGUCAUUGAAGAGUGAAGCUAUUUCUGGAGGACCAAUGCCAGGACCUUCAAAUGAUAUCCAUAAUAAACUUGAAUAUGGAAUUUUAGAUACUUUUGAAAAUAAUAGUAGUUCAAGUUUUUCAAAUGGUGUUAUGCCUUUACUAUAUCAUACAAAUGAGAAUCAGGUAUCCCAUUCUGGACUUUCUCAAGUUGCAAAUGUUGGCUGCUUUGUGCAAGAUGUUACUGCGUCCUCUUCUAUUAAUUCCAAAGGUUUAACAGUUAGUAGCCAGGGUUCUCUUAUUUCUAAUGGUAAUAAAGGCUCAGCUGACGGCAAUUUCAAUACUGAAAGGAUGAACAAGGUGUAUCAGCACGGAAGAAUGACAAUAGGACAGAGCAGUUCUCAAGGUGUUCAGAAUCUCACUCAAAUUCCUUCCAAGGGUCCGAAAGAGGCCGGUGGAAAUGUUUAUACUGGAGCACUUCCUCCUUGGUUUGCAGCAGAUGAAGAAAAUCAGCUUAGUAUUCCAAUACAACCAGUUUCUGGUACCCUUCUUCCUCCGUCAAGUAAGUCAGGGAAGUCCAAGAAAUUAAACCCAAAACGAGUGGGAGCAGCUUGGGCAGAAAGGAGAAAGAGGGAGCUGGAGAUGGAACAAAGGGGUGAGAUUGUCAAGAGCGAUUAUGAUGCUAAUUGGCUCCCCAAUUUUGGUGGAGUUUGGCAAUCUGGUACCCGGAAAGAGACUAAAAAAGAAUUUGAGUUGGAGAAACUUAAUUCAGUUAAGGUUGAAAGUCAAUCUGAGAUGCCAAUCAAGAUACAGCCUUACGUCAGCAAAAGGAUGCGAACUGGUGCAAGUGAAUAAUUCUGUGAUUGUGAGUUGAUGAUUUUUCCGAAGACGCACAUCUGGGAGAACCACUAUGCAGAUAAUCGACCUUUUUUCUCAUGAGUUUCGGUAGAUGCCAAAUUGAGCUGAAAAUUUGAAGGAAACAAAGGAGCACUGGUGUGAUCAGUUUUUAGGCUAUUGUACAAGAUAGAGCUUGAUAAAAAUGCUGAGCUCGUUCAUGAAAAAGCGGCCAUCGCAUCUGGUCUUCUACCUUUCUUGUUGCACUAUUGAAAACCUGAACAAUGAUAUAAGCUUAUCUCUUUGUAGAUGGGGGGAAAACAUAGAACUUAAAAGCAAG